rnacentral:rRNA from 1 species
UAAUACGGGCGGAGCAAGCGUUGUUCGGAUUUAUUGGGUGUAAAGGGUGCGCAGGCGGUCGACUAAGUCAGAAGUGAAAUGUCUACGGCUCAACCGAGACACUGCUCCUGAUACUGGUUGACUUGAGUGCGGAAGGGGAGCGUGGAAUUCCUGGUGUAGCGGUGAAAUGCGUAGAUAUCAGGAGGAACACCGGUGGCGAAGGCGACGCUCUGGUCCGUAACUGACGCUCAUGCACGAAAGCCAGGGGAGCGAACGGGAUUAGAUACCCCGGUAGUCCUGGCCGUAAACGUUGGGCACUAGGUGUGGGGGGUAUCGACCCCCUCCGUGCCGUAGCUAACGCAUUAAGUGCCUCACCUGGGGAGUACGAGCGCAAGCUUGAAACUCAAAGGAAUUGACGG